AACGCGAAGAACCUUACCUGGCCUUGACAUGCAUCGUGUCGUCGGUGAAAGCCGGCUAGCGUAGCAAUACGCGCUUUGCACAGGUGCUGCAUGGCUGUCGUCAGCUCGUGUCGUGAGAUGUUGGGUUAAGUCCCGCAACGAGCGCAACCCUUAUCCUUAGUUACCAUCGAGUAAAGUCGGGGACUUUAAGGAGACUGCCGGUGAUAAACCGGAGGAAGGUGGGGAUGACGUCAAGUCCUCAUGGCCCUUACGAGUAGGGCUACACACGUGCUACAAUGGUCGGUACAAAGGGUCGCGAACCUGCGAAGGGGAGCUAAUCUCAUAAAGCCGAUCGUAGUCCGGAUUGGAGUCUGCAACUCGACUCCAUGAAGCUGGAAUCGCUAGUAAUCGUGGAUCAGAACGCCACGGUGAAUACGUUCCCGGGCCUUGUACACACCGCUACAGU
rnacentral:rRNA from 1 species